rnacentral:rRNA from 1 species
GGACUACUGGGGUAUCUAAUCCUGUUUGCUCCCCACGCUUUCGUGUCUCAGCGUCAGUUGCGGUCCAGUAAGCCGCCUUCGCCACUGGUGUUCCUCCCAAUAUCUACGCAUUUAACCGCUACACUGGGAAUUCCGCUUACCUCUCCCGCACUCAAGCUUCUCAGUUUCAAGCGCAUACAUGGGUUGAGCCCAUAUCUUUAACGCCUGACUUAAAAAGCCGCCUACACACCCUUUACACCCAGUAAUUCCGGAUAACGCUUGCCACCUACGUAUUACCGCGGCGGCUGGCAC